GACGGGGGCCCGCACAAGCAGUGGAUUAUGUGGUUUAAUUCGACGCAACGCGAAGAACCUUACCGGGGCUUGACAUUGAGGGAAGACAGCAGAGAUGUUGUCGUCUUCGGACCCGAAAACAGGUGGUGCAUGGUUGUCGUCAGCUCGUGUCGUGAGAUGUUAGGUUAAGUCCUGCAACGAGCGCAACCCUUAUCGUUAGUUGCUACGCAAGAGCACUCUAAUGAGACCGCCGGUGACAAACCGGAGGAAGGUGGGGACGACGUCAAAUCAUCAUGCCCCUUAUGUCCCGGGCUACACACGUAAUACAAUGGCCGUCAACAAAGGGAAGCAAAGCCGCGAGGCAGAGCAAAACCCCAAAAACGGUCUCAGUUCGGAUCGCAGGCUGCAACCCGCCUGCGUGAAGUUGGAAUUGCUAGUAAUCGCGGAUCAGCAUGCCGCGGUGAAUACGUUCCCGGGCCUUGUACACACCGCCCGUCACACCAUGGGAGUUUGAGAUGCCCGAAGUCAGUAGUCUAACCGCAAGGAGGACGCUGCCGAAGGCAGAGCAGGCGACUGG
rnacentral:rRNA from 1 species